ACAGGAGAUAUUUCAAUUUUACCAAAUGUAUCUGUUGAACUUCUUAUUGACCUAAUUAAAGAUGCCAAAAAGCCUUCUGUUGCUGCUAUUCAAGGACUCACACUCGGUGGUGGCUUAGAAAUGACAAUGGGAUGUCCUGCAUGAAUUGCUACACCAAAAACUCAACUUGGCUUGCCAGAAUUGUCAC